rnacentral:rRNA from 1 species
CCCUUAGAUGUUCUGGGCUGCACGCGCGCUACACUGACACACUCAGCGAGUCACCUGAUCUGAGAAGACCGGGCAAUCAUGUGAGCGUGUAUCGUGAUGGGGAUAGAAUAUUGUAAUUAUUACUCUUCAACGAGGAAUUCCUAGUAAGCGCGAGUCAGCAGCUCGCGCUGAUUACGUCCCUGCCCUUUGUGCACACCGCCCGUCGCUCCUACCGAGGGGGUGAUCCGGUGAAUGAUUCGGACUUUGGCAUUGCUAUGUUUCAUAGCAUUGCUGGGGGAAGUCUUGUGAACCUUAUCACUUGGAGGAAGGAGAAGUCGUAACA